rnacentral:misc_RNA from 1 species
AUCUAGCAGUACACUUAUUGUACAGAUAAUGCACAUUAUUUUUUCUAAUCAUAUUUCAACGUGACAAAUUCUACAAGUUUUUAAAAACAAUGUCUGGAACUUUAAUGUUUUUGCUAUCUAUUGACUUUGGUCUACAAGCUGUAGGGUGCAUUUUUUCUAUCUUAUUGAAAACCGAAAAAUUAUUUGAUCUUUGCGGUGCCAUCACAAAUUUUCUUCUUGUAUACAUAUCUUUACAAGAAAAUGAAGAACCUUCGCUUAGGCAGAAUAUUCUUAGCUUUAUGGCAAUGUUGUGGGCCUUAAGAUUGGGCCUCUUCUUGUUCUUUCGAGUUUUGAAAAGCGAGGAUAGAAGGUUUAAGCAUGCCAAACAAAAUCCGAAAAGAAUGGCUGUUUUCUGGACUAUUCAGGGUAUAUGGUGUUUUGUAACUUUGUUGCCGACUAUCCUGCUAAAUCUGAAAGAGAACGAUGAACUUCGUCCAAUAACUGGUAGUGAUAUAGCUGGAUUUGUUAUGUUCAUAUUUGGCUUCGUCUUCGAGUCAUUAGCGGAUUAUCAAAAAACAGUAUUCCGAAACGAUCCAAGAAAUAAGAAUAAAUUUAUCAACGUAGGACUUUGGAGUGUAAUUCGUCAUCCGAACUAUCUUGGUGAAAUCGUCAUAUGGUGUGGAGCAUACGUUUGUGCUUCUACAUCCUUCAGAGGUUUAGAAGGUAUUUCAGUCUUAUCACCUAUUCUUGUCGCUAUCCUGCUAACUAAAGUAAGUGGAAUACCACUUUUGGAGAAGCAAGGUUGGAAGAAAUGGGGUACUAAUUCGGACUAUAUUGCAUAUAUGAAAAAUACUAAGCGACUCGUUCCUAGACUAUGGUAACAAAUCAAUGAAUUCUUUAAGCGAAAAAAAAACGUGUAUUCAAAAAAUUUCAUGGUUUUCUUUUUAAAUCUUAAAAUUUUCAAACAGCCAAAAUAUAACUUCAUCUUAGAAAACAUCUUUUAAUUUUAAAUAUUGAGCUGUGCUAUUCAUAUUUAAUAACAAUUGUUGCCUAAAUUUCAAAGCAGAUUCAUCUACUAUUGGAUUUUUGAUUAUUUCGGCACAUUUAGCUUUAUCAAAAUGACAUUUUUUGUAAUGAUGUAACGUACCAAAUUCAACUGGAACGUCCAGAGAUUCGUUAGGUACAUCGGCCGCUUUCGUUUUAUGCCAACAGAAAUGAUUAUGCAUUCCAUAGCAAGAUAGCGGAUCUAUAAUACUCUUAAUUGAAUAUCCUGGACCGCUAACUUUUGCUCUGUAUCUCCUAAACGUAGCAAUUUCUUUGCUGUCGUUAUUAGUAUCGCUUUUAUUUUUCAAGUUAUCAAAAUCAGAAAAAAAGUAAGCAUUCCUAAAAUGAUAUGAUUUGGUUUCUAUACUUCUUGGAUACUUUUUAUCUAUCGCUUCUAACAUAUCUUUAUAAUUUAACCCUUGAUUUGGAAUGAUUAUUUCGUCUAGAUCGACAAUAAUUAACUUUUUAUAAGAGUACAUAUUGCGAAGUAUGCAAUCGUUGACAGCAGGUGACGCCUUGAAAAGAAAGAAAAGAAUAAAGAAAUGUUUGCACUUUGAACUAUAUUUUCAACUUACUUGAGCGUAAUAAGCAUGAGAAGGAGCUGGAGUUUCAAAGAACCCUGUUUUGAAAUCAGUUAAAUCGAUUUUCCCCAUUUCAUGUAAUUGUUUAAAUAACUUGUGUGUAGUUGGUUCUAGAUUAUUAUUGUAUACGUAUAUUUGAGAUACACCUAAGAGGCGAUGCAUCUCUACAAAUUCAAGCACUCUUGAAGGGUUAAAUUUCGAAAACGCACAUAUCACACAAACGGCAAAGUCCUGUUGUCACCAUGAAAUAGUUAAGAAAGUGUCUGAGGAAACUCAACAGGAAUUGACCAUUGUGUUCUUUGAUUUGAUUUAUUAGCAAGAAAUAUUUUGAGAGGUAGGCGAUUACUUUGCAGAGGGCACUCAAACACAUACUCUCUGAACCAGUAUCCUCUAUAGGAAACACCUACACCUAUAUCAGCUGGUCGACUUUGAACAAUAUCUGGAAGACCUUUUUCAUAUACUAUAUGACAAUAAGGAGCAGAUUUCUCAACUAGUUUCUUCUCUGCUAUUGCAACAAUUCGGAUGCAUUUAGAACCUUGCAACGUAGAGCGAUCAUCGUAAAAGGCGGAAAAGGCAUACAUAUUCAAAAAGUCGGACUUUUGCCAAUGAACCGGCACUAAAAAUUGCAAAUGAUAAUAUUGAAAACAGCUAUAAAAAUGUUAAGUAUCUUUACCUCUAGGAAUCAACGAUUGACUUCUAAGCCGGGGUCCAUUAUCUUUAUUCGAACGAAAGAUUUUGGUAUUGUAUAAAUAGACCAACAGCAACAAAAUGGAAAUUGUAGAAAGACUUAUUAUAAGUUUCUUCAUGCUCAAAUUAAAGUUUUAUUAUAGCUUUUCCUUUGAAACUGAUAUCUGUGAAUAAUGAUAAAUUGCAACUAUACUUUCCAUAAAAAUAGAUAAAUUCACAGAGAAAAAUUGACCUAAAUUGAUUAGUUCAAUUGAUUAAAUCAAUUGUAAAAGAAUGAGAUUUUCAAGUUAAUCAUACAAGUUUUUCAUAGUUUAGAGAGUAAUAUUCUAACGAAAUUCUUCUCAACAAUUUCAGAGUAACCGGCACCUCGCUCUAAAAAGUUGGCUUUCUCGUUUUAUUUUUGUUGUUGCUUAUAAUAUAAUUGCUAUUUAUAAUUAUUUCAAUUACGAUAAUUAAAUAUUGAAAUAUUGGAAAGUUACGAAUUAGGUGAGAAAGGGCAGGUAUAAAAAGUAUUGAUAUAUAUUGAUAUUGGUAACUUUAAUCGAUAUAUUGUUAAAAUUCAAACAUAAGAAUGCCAAUAUGAAGAAUUUUUGUUUGUUUAAAAGAUACAGAUACCUUAAUUGAGAGGUGUGAAAGAAUGUAAUGUUUCGUUCCUAGACAAGGAACAUUUUCUAAACAGUUUCUAUACAAAAUAAUAGUAAGGUUAUUGAUUACCUUUAGAGCCAAGAAUACAUUAAUAUUGUGUCCUAUUAUUUGAUGAACCCGAGAAAUAUUAAUGAUAUAGAUCCUCCUUGCCGAGAUUGCUGUAAUGACUUGUAUACUUCGGAAAACUACGAAAACAUUUUGCAAACCGGAAAUGAGAGUUUUUCGAAUCUCAUUUUAUAAAAUUUUUCACUCUUCGCCUAUUUUCUCCUUGUAUCUUUCAAAAAUAUUAACAGUUUGCUAAUAUUUAUUUAAAAUAAGGUAAUUUUUAUCAUUUCAGCUAAUAAAACGCUUGUUAUUAAUUAUUCCAGGCUGUUAAAACUAGAUUAUUUACGAAAUUUAGUUAUUCUGUCUGCCUUAUCGAUUUCAAUUAUUUUCUUAUUUUUAUUUUUUAUCAUCAUUAGAUACAAUGCUUUUAAUUUUAAUGAAAAAAUUAUAAAUACAUUGCAUAUAAACAAAUUGGAACUGUUU